AGUCUUCUGGGGUGUUUGUAAGUGACUAUGUCCCUGAGCCGAUAAGUUUUACCUAAGGAAAUUGACUAUUAACUAUUGUGCAAGCCCGGCUUGUAUCGGGAAGCCUACGGUUAGUAUAAAAUUUCCGCCCUGAACACACGGUGUUCAGGACUACGGUUAACUGCGGCAUUCUGGAAGCCUU
rnacentral:other from 1 species